UCCAUGGCCUCACCGAACUCCUCCCACGCCCGGGUUUACAUUGGAGGCUCACUUUUAUCUAGUUAAUUACUUGACAGCUGUAUAUUGUGAUGAGUGAUCUGGCAAAAGCAACUGCUAAAAAAAGUAAAUACAGCUGAACAUAUGCAUAUAUGCAAUGGGCAGCACUGUCGCCUCACUCCUCGGGGACCAGAGGUAAAGUCUCUGCCAGGGUUCCAUUUGUGUGGAGUUUGCAUGUUCUUGCUGUGUGAUUGUUGGGUUUCCCUUGGGCACUCUAGUAACCCCUUCCCCCCCAUCCACCCCCCACAGUCCAAAGACAUGUGAUUUGGUGUUACCAAAUUGCCCACAGAUAUGAAUGGUGUGUGAAUGCACCCUGUGAUGGGUUGGUGCCCCAUCCUGGGUUGUUCCCUGCCUUGCACCCAUAGGUUCCAGACCCCCUGUCAUCUUGAAUAGGACACAUGGUUACAGAACGUGGAUGGAUGUAAAUAUAUAAAAUUGGAUUAGGACUCUCUUUAAGGUGCAUGUUAUCUUUGAUUAACUCAAAGCUGCCUGAACUUUUAUUGAAUAAGUUUAUAUGUUAAAAAAAACUCUCUUCCAGGCAUCGGUAAUCCCCUGCGUGAACGCUAAAUGAAACACAGUGGUUAUAUGUAAAGCCACACAAAGUUUCAUCCUGAAACAACUCUGCUAUCCUUUACCUAUUACAGUUAUACCUCCUUCCCAUGACAGGUCUUCCUUUGAAAGCCGCCAACUGACCUCCACGUCAUGGUGAAAUGCAAAGAGACAAGCGUGCAAGAACUGAUACUUACUGAGGUGCUUAGCAUUUGUCCAGCAUUCAUCCUCCCACUGGCUGUCUUUCGAUUGACCAGCUACAGGUCGGUGGGAUCAGCCUCGUUGUCCAGUCCCCUAUACCCCUUUAACUCACCCAAUUGGAAGAGCAUCCAGUUUUCAGCCAAGCAGUUCUGCCUACUGUCAGUGAGAGAUAUGUGGGUGUCUCCAGGUAUGACCUAUGAAUUCAUGCAUGCAACAGACACCCCUGUUAUUCAUAUUUCCAUGGUAUUUGUCCUACUAAAUAAAUCUAUGGAAAUUCUUAGAUGUACCUUCAUAUAUCCACAAGCACAGAUUUGUUUGAUUUUACUAUAGUUGCAUUGUAAUUUCUUAAUAAUAUACUGUUUGUCAACAAUGUAACAAUAAAUGUGUGGUAUUGAAAAAAAGAAUAACCAGAAAAUAAAAGUAAAGCCUUUACUUUCUGUAAGAAAAUUAUACCCAUGAGAUUAUUGAAUACUUAUUUUAACAAAAUAAUAUACAUACCAAAUUAAUCAUGACAAUAUUUUCAUUUUCCUGAAUGUCAGCUAGAAAUGAAAACAAUUAGAUGUCAAACUAAUGUCAUUUUAUCAGUUUGUAUAUUGCAAUUCCUAAUUGCUUUUUUUAUUGUUACAAAUAAAUGUUCUAAUUUCUGACAAAUCGCUCAUUUUCUUCAUGCAUAAAUCACAUUGCUGUCAACAUAGUACUUGUUUUGCUUUUGUGCAUGUGCAGGAAU